rnacentral:rRNA from 1 species
UGGGGAAUUUUGGACAAUGGGGGAAACCCUGAUCCAGCCAUCCCGCGUGUGCGAUGAAGGCCUUCGGGUUGUAAAGCACUUUUGGCAGGAAAGAAACGUCAUGGGUUAAUACCCCGUGAAACUGACGGUACCUGCAGAAUAAGCACCGGCUAACUACGUGCCAGCAGCCGCGGUAAUACGUAGGGUGCAAGCGUUAAUCGGAAUUACUGGGCGUAAAGCGUGCGCAGGCGGUUCGGAAAGAAAGAUGUGAAAUCCCAGAGCUCAACUUUGGAACUGCAUUUUUAACUACCGGGCUAGAGUGUGUCAGAGGGAGGUGGAAUUCCGCGUGUGGCAGUGAAAUGCGUAGAUAUGCGGAGGAACACCGAUGGCGAAGGCAGCCUCCUGGGAUAACACUGACGCUCAUGCACGAAAGCGUGGGGACCAAACAGG